UUAGUUUGUGCUUUCAGUUGCUGCCUAUUUAUAAUUUUAUAUGAUCAAAGUCUUAGGCUUUUAGGUAUAUUUUAGCAGUAUGAUAUGUUUCCCUUUCCCUAUGAAAUCUAUAACCUUAACCUUAUAACCUUAACGGCCACCGUUUAACCUUAUAACCUUAACGGCCACCAUUUAACCUUAUAACCUUAACGACCACCGUUUAACCUUAUAAUCUUAUAACCUUAACUGCCACCGUUUAAACUUAUAACCUUAAUGACCACCGUUUAACCUUAUAAGGUUAACGACCACCAUUUAACUUUAUAACCUUACGGCCACCGUUUAAACUUAUAAACUUAUAAGGCGAACGGCCACCGUUUAACCUUAUAACCUUAAUGGCCACUGUUUAACCUUAUAACCUCAUAAGGUUAACAACCACCAUUUAACCUUAUAACCUUAACAGCCACCGUUUAACCUUAUAACCUUAACUGCCACCGUUUAACCCUAUAACCUUAACGGCCACCGUUUAACCUUAUAACCUUAUAACCUUCUCUUGAGUAGUACUAGAGAGUUUAACGGCCACCGUUUAAACCUUCACUGCCUCGAUCUUUUUAUUAAGAACUUAUUCAUAAAUAU
rnacentral:lncRNA from 1 species